rnacentral:rRNA from 1 species
UUGUUCGGAAUUAUUGGGCGUAAAGGGUGCGUAGGCGGUUUGGUUAGUCUUAUGUGAAAUCUACAGGCUCAACUUGUAGUCUGCAUGAGAAACUGCCGGGCUUGAGUAUGGGAGAGGUGAGUGGAAUUCCUGGUGUAGCGGUGAAAUGCGUAGAUAUCAGGAGGAACACCUGUGGCGAAAGCGGCUCACUGGACCAUAACUGACGCUGAGGCACGAAAGCGUGGGUAGCAAACAGG